AAAUAUAAUUUUUGAAAUCCUAAAUUGUUUUACUAUUUAUAUGAAAUAAAUUUUACCAUUUGUUAUUUUUUAAAAAAAAUUAUGAAUUGAUGUAGAAAAGUUUAGUAUUAAACUUAAGGGAUCAAAUUAUUUUCUCCUCAUCAUCUCUAGCGUUACACUUAUUGAUAUUAAAGAUGCAACCAAUUUUCCUACAGUUUAAUUUAGAGAUUAUAGGGUUGCUUUUGCAUGGGUGCAACUUGGAGACAUUAUAAACAUUGCACGUCAUUGAGGGAGAUUUUAUCUCUAUGGAAGAGAACACUCUCUA
rnacentral:lncRNA from 1 species